UGGUGGACAGUGGGAGGUUCUUGUUCACAUUGGUGGACAGUGGGAGAGGAUCUCAUUUACAUUGGUGGACAGUGGAAGGUUCUUGUUCACAUUGGUGGAAAGUGGGAGAGGUUCUUGUUCAAACUGGAGGCCAGUAGAAGUUUCCAUUCACAUUGGCGGUCAGUAGGAGAGGUUCCUCUUCAAAUUUGGACAGUGGGAGGUUCUUGUUCACAUUGGUGGACAGUGGGAGAGGAUCUCAUUCACAUUGGUGGACAGUGGGUGAGGAUCUCAUUCACAUUGGUAGACAGUGGGAGAGGAUCUCAUUCACAUUGGUGGACAGUGGGAGAGGAUCUCAUUCACAUUGGUGGACAGUGGGAGGUUCUUGUUCACAUUGGUGGACAGUGGGAGAGGAUCUCAUUCACAUUGGUGGACAGUGGGUGAGGAUCUCAUUCACAUUGGUAGACAGUGGGAGAGGAUCUCAUUCACAUUGGUGAACAGUGGGAGAGGAUCUCAUUCACAUUGGUGGACAGUGGGAGGUUCUUGUUCACAUUGGUGGACAGUGGGAGAGGAUCUCAUUUACAUUGGUGGACAGUGGAAGGUUCUUGUUCACAUUGGUGGAAAGUGGGAGAGGUUCUUGUUCAAACUGGAGGCCAGUAGAAGUUUCCAUUCACAUUGGCGGUCAGUAGGAGAGGUUCCUCUUCAAAUUUGGACAGUGGGAGGUUCUUGUUCACAUUGGUGGACAGUGGGAGAGGAUCUCAUUCACAUUGGUGGACAGUGGGUGAGGAUCUCAUUCACAUUGGUAGACAGUGGGAGAGGAUCUCAUUCACAUUGGUGGACAGUGGGAGAGGAUCUCAUUCACAUUGGUGGACAGUGGGAGGUUCUUGUUCACAUUGGUGGACAGUGGGAGAGGAUCUCAUUCACAUUGGUGGACAGUGGGUGAGGAUCUCAUUCACAUUGGUAGACAGUGGGAGAGGAUCUCAUUCACAUUGGUGGACAGUGGGAGAGGAUCUCAUUCACAUUGGUGGACAGUGGGAGGUUCUUGUUCACAUUGGUGGACAGUGGGAGAGGAUCUCAUUCACAUUGGUGGACAGUGGGUGAGGAUCUCAUUCACAUUGGUAGACAGUGGGAGAGGAUCUCAUUCACAUUGGUGAACAGUGGGAGAGGAUCUCAUUCACAUUGGUGGACAGUGGGAGGUUCUUGUUCACAUUGGUGGACAGUGGGAGAGGAUCUCAUUUACAUUGGUGGACAGUGGAAGGUUCUUGUUCACAUUGGUGGAAAGUGGGAGAGGUUCUUGUUCAAACUGGAGGCCAGUAGAAGUUUCCAUUCACAUUGGCGGUCAGUAGGAGAGGUUCCUCUUCAAAUUUGGACAGUGGGAGGUUCUUGUUCACAUUGGUGGACAGUGGGAGAGGAUCUCAUUCACAUUGGUGGACAGUGGGUGAGGAUCUCAUUCACAUUGGUAGACAGUGGGAGAGGAUCUCAUUCACAUUGGUGGACAGUGGGAGAGGAUCUCAUUCACAUUGGUGGACAGUGGGAGGUUCUUGUUCACAUUGGUGGACAGUGGGAGAGGAUCUCAUUCACAUUGGUGGACAGUGGGUGAGGAUCUCAUUCACAUUGGUAGACAGUGGGAGAGGAUCUCAUUCACAUUGGUGAACAGUGGGAGAGGAUCUCAUUCACAUUGGUGGACAGUGGGAGGUUCUUGUUCACAUUGGUGGACAGUGGGAGAGGAUCUCAUUUACAUUGGUGGACAGUGGAAGGUUCUUGUUCACAUUGGUGGAAAGUGGGAGAGGUUCUUGUUCAAACUGGAGGCCAGUAGAAGUUUCCAUUCACAUUGGCGGUCAGUAGGAGAGGUUCCUCUUCAAAUUUGGACAGUGGGAGGUUCUUGUUCACAUUGGUGGACAGUGGGAGAGGAUCUCAUUCACAUUGGUGGACAGUGGGUGAGGAUCUCAUUCACAUUGGUAGACAGUGGGAGAGGAUCUCAUUCACAUUGGUGGACAGUGGGAGAGGAUCUCAUUCACAUUGGUGGACAGUGGGAGGUUCUUGUUCACAUUGGUGGAC